UACGGGGGGGGCAAGCGUUGUUCGGAAUUACUGGGCGUAAAGGGCGCGUAGGCGGCCUACUAAGUCGGACGUGAAAUCCCUCGGCUCAACCGAGGAACUGCGUCCGAUACUGGCGAGGCUUGAAUUCGGGAGAGGGAUGUGGAAUUCCAGGUGUAGCGGUGAAAUGCGUAGAUAUCUGGAGGAACACCGGUGGCGAAGGCGGAUCUCUGGGCCAUUACUGACGCUGAGGAGCGAAAGCGUGGGGAGCGAACAGG
rnacentral:rRNA from 1 species